CCCUUAGACGUUCUGGGCCGCACGCGCGCUACACUGACGAAGGCAACGAGCUACUCUUCACCGAAAGGUGUGGGUAAUCUUUUGAAACUUCGUCGUGCUGGGGAUAGAUCCUUGCAAUUUUUGAUCUUAAACGAGGAAUUCCUAGUAAGCGCAAGUCAUCAACUUGCGUUGACUACGUCCCUGCCCUUUGUACACACCGCCCGUCGCUACUACCGAUUGAAUGGUUUAGUGAGGCCUUCGGAUCCGCGAUUUUAUUGUGGAGAAGUUGGACAAACUCAGUCAUUUAGAGGAAGUAAAAGUCGUAACA
rnacentral:rRNA from 1 species